rnacentral:rRNA from 1 species
UACGUAGGGUGCAAGCGUUGUCCGGAAUUAUUGGGCGUAAAGAGCUCGUAGGCGGUUUGUCGCGUCUGCUGUGAAAUCCCGAGGCUCAACCUCGGGUCUGCAGUGGGUACGGGCAGACUAGAGUGCGGUAGGGGAGAUUGGAACUCCUGGUGUAGCGGUGAAAUGCGCAGAUAUCAGGAGGAACACCGAUGGCGAAGGCAGGUCUCUGGGCCACUACUGACGCUGAGAAGCGAAAGCAUGGGGAGCGAACAGG